rnacentral:rRNA from 1 species
AUUGAACGCUGGCGGCAUGCCUUACACAUGCAAGUCGAACGGCAGCACGGGAGCAAUCCUGGUGGCGAGUGGCGAACGGGUGAGUAACAUAUCGGAACGUGCCCAGUAGUGGGGGAUAACCCGGCGAAAGCCGGACUAAUACCGCAUACGACCUACGGGUGAAAGCAGGGGAUCGCAAGACCUUGCGCUAUCGGAGCGGCCGAUAUCAGAUUAGCUUGUUGGUGGGGUAAAAGCCUACCAAGGCGACGAUCUGUAGCUGGUCUGAGAGGACGACCAGCCACACUGGGACUGAGACACGGCCCAGACUCCUACGGGAGGCAGCAGUGGGGAAUUUUGGACAAUGGGCGCAAGCCUGAUCCAGCCAUGCCGCGUGCGGGAAGAAGGCUCGGUGUAACG